UUGAAAUAGCAGUCUAAAUAAAAAAUGCAAAGCAAUCAUUAGACCGUUCUGGCUGGUGUUCUGCCUCAUUAUCAUUUGAAAAAGCAAGUGCAACUGAAAUGCCCAACUCUAUUCAAUAUAACAAAUUUAUAAUGUGUGGAAGGACUUUGAGUAGGCAGUAAUUUCUCAAUUUUUUCGCAGGUUCAGCAGACUGUACGACUUGAAAUUUGUAUUUUCACCAAGACAACUGUUAUUGUUGAGAUGAUUUAAAGAAUCUUGUAAAUUUCAGAUGCUGCUCGCAAAGCGCCAAAUGCAACUGCUGCUGACGUUGAGGCCUCCAUCAAAUCGUGGCUCCGGCAUGCUCCCGAGCGCGUUGCCACCAAGUUUCAGAAGUCAAAGCCAAGACUACUUGAGCAGGCAGCAGAUACUGACUGAAACUGUCACCACGGCAGAGGGGCCAAGGCUUCCAGCUUCUGAUUCUCUGGUCAUUCUGUGGAUAUUGAUUCAAAGUGUUGUUUACACUGGCUUUACUCAACAACAAACAUUGAUGGCAGCAGAUAGCCAAUGGCAAAGACAAGGACCAUGCACUGUUGGCAACCAGCUCAACCACAACUUCAUGGUGGUAUUUCUCAACCGAUGUGCCACCUCCACGCUUCAGUAUAAUACCUUUCCUUUAAAAAAUGUGAAGGGUGCUGUCACAAUUCGUGUUUUGCAGGUAGCAUCCACUUUAGGCAUUUGAGGUUAUGGGCGACAUAGUGUUUUUUUAUUUGAUGAAUAAUUUUUUUUAAAGAUACAGCUGAACUAAAGUACAUUGCAAGUUUGACUUUUGACUUGUGUCCACUGUAUAAUGUAUGUAUGUUAUCCACUGUUAUUGUGAUCCUCAAAAUCAUGUGCAGUUUCUGUUGCAUUGUUACCAAGUGCUUUGGAGACUGUUGCCGUCAUACGAGAUAGGUGAAAAUGUCUAGUCAGCUGUAAAAGCUGUACAAGUCUAGUUUCUACGUAUUGCCCACUCCUCUGGAACACACGGUAACUCUCCUUCCAUUGCUACUUUCUAUACCUGCCUUCAGGCAGCAACACAAGCUUAUGCUGGUGCCACUUUGGAAGCAGCUUGCAUUCCUGGAAACGAAGGCAACUUUACAUUGUUUACUUAAAAGCCAGUUAACUAACUGCCAUGUAUUAAAUUGAAUGAUCCAGACCAUAAAAUGCUCUUUUUGCCUAGUUUGAGCAAGGAUAGGGAACCAAUAAGUGCAAAUUUUUAAAUAGGAAUUUAAGCUAAAUAUCGCUCUUGCAUGUAUGUUUACCAUUUGUAACAGUUUCUAGCACUUUGAGGCAGUAUCUGUGUUAUAAGUUUUGCUACCAAACUCUUGAAUGCAGAGUUCUGUAUUUCUAAGCAAGUAAUUUCAUACUCGAAAAGGUCACUUUUUUUUUCUUUUUUUUUGAAGCUACUGACAGAACUUUGUUCUGCAGUUGUGCACAUAGUGAAGUACGUGGUUAUAUGUUUGCACUGUUAACUGGAUUCAAUGUUCAGAUAUUGUGAAAACAGUUCUAAAAGUUAAAUUCUUCUGCUGCAGCUGUAUUGUAAUAUGCUAAUAUAGCCCUCAACUGCUUUGCAGAGCUUAGGAUACUACAGUCACUCCCCAAGUGUAAUUAGUGGCUGUAUUGUGAUGACUAAAGCACUUUACUCAUAGUAAGCUCAACAGCUCUUACAUGACUUGUUCUCUGUUGCAAAUGAUGCGAUACAUUUUUAUUCUUAGCAAUAGUAAUGUUAAAUUUCUUUAUUCAACUUCUCUUGCUAUAUAAUGCAGUAUUUCCCAUCGUGAGUGGCAGUGGCUGCAUUUUUUUUUGAGGUAGUGUGUAGUUCUUUUUAUUGGUUAUGCUGAAACAAGGUGGCCUGUGUGCAAUUAUGUGUAUGUUUAAUCCAAUCUAGUCAGAAUCUGUAAGCUAAUGGUGUGCUUGGCCCACAUGUCCCAGCUAUGCUUGGUUUUUCUUAAUUUAUUGUCAUAAAACUGAACUUUUAAAUGUUUUAUGCCCUCACUUUUUAGUAGGGUUGACAGAGUAGAGCCUCUGGUCUUUGUUUUGGAAUUUAAUGUCUUUAAAUGUUUUUAGAUGUAUGUCUCAUGCGCUCAUAUUUUAGUUACCUUAGUGGUUUAUUUUGAUAUGUAGAAGCCAUGUCCAUUUGUACGGAUAUUGUGCUUGGUGAGAAUAAGGGCUGUGACAGAUUGAUGGCAUUAUGUUUCUUUGAAGGAAAGUGCCCUUAUGUAUUGUUUCUGGUGGCAAGAGACAAGUCUCUCAUCAUAUCGUGCUUUGGAGUAUAUAUAUUUAGUGAAAUCUAGUCAGAAUCUGCAAGCUAAUGAUGGGCUUGGUCCAUAUGUCCCAGCUAUGCUUGUUUUUUUUGGUGGUUUUUAAUUUGACAUCAUAAAACUGAACUUUUAUUUGUUUUAUGCACUCACUUUGUAACUGGGUUGAUGCAACAGAGCUCGUUGUGUUUAUGUUGGAAUUUAAUGCCCUUAAAUGUUUUUAGAUGUGUCUUAUGCACUCAUCUUUUAAUAAAGUUGCUUUAGAGGUUUAUUUGCAUAUGUAGAAGCUAUUGAACGAUAACCAUGUCCAUUUGUACGGAUAUUGUGCUUGACGAGAAUAACGGCUGCGACAGAUUUAUGGCAUGUUUCUGUGAAUAAAAGGGCCCAUAUUUAUUGUUUCUAGUGGCAAGAGACAAGUCGUGCUUUGCAGUUCUAUACUUUUAGUGCUUGGUGUUGUCUUUGUGUUAGGUUUACUAAAGUAUAGUUUCAUAGAAAAUGUGUAAAAAUUUGAGUUGAUCUGCUGAUCACCCCCUACAUUCCUAGAUUUCUUCUGAUGCACUAGAGCUGAUGACGCUAUAUCCACUUGCAGGCUAUUUGUCUUAAGCAUUGGAGGUAGGCUUUGCAGUGCUUGUUCGCUGGAUGCAGAAGCUCUUCUACUGUGAUAACACAAGACCAGAGCCCACUGUUUUUUUGCUUGUUUUUGCUUUACUGUGAAUAAAAAUGAAAGCUGUAA